UACGUAGGGGGCAAGCGUUGUCCGGAUUUAUUGGGCGUAAAGAGCUCGUAGGUGGUUUGGUAAGUCGGAUGUGAAAUCUCCAGGCUCAACCUGGAGGGGUCAUUCGAUACUGCCAUGACUAGAGGUCGGUAGGGGAGUGUGGAAUUCCUGGUGGAGCGGUGAAAUGCGCAGAUAUCAGGAGGAACACCGGUGGCGAAGGCGGGUCUCUGGGCCGAUACUGACGCUGAGGAGCGAGAGCGUGGGGAGCGAACAGG
rnacentral:rRNA from 1 species